CAUGGUUGUCGUCAGCUCGUGUCGUGAGAUGUUGGGUUAAGUCCCGCAACGAGCCGCAAACCCUCGACCUUAGUUGCCAGCAUUCAGUUGGGCAUUCUAAGGUGACUGCCGGCUAAAAGUCGGAGGAAGUGGGGAUGGACGUCAAAUCAUCAUGCCCCUUAUGACCUGGGCUACACACGUGCUACAAUGGGCGGUACAAAGGGUCGCGAACCCGCGAGGGGGAGCCAAUCCCAAAAAGCCGCUCUCAGUUCGGAUUGCAGGCUGCAACUCGCCUGCAUGAAGCCGGAAUCGCUAGUAAUCGCGGAUCAGCAUGCCGCGGUGAAUACGUUCCCGGGCCUU
rnacentral:rRNA from 1 species